AUGCAGCUGCGGAGCUUGCGGAAUGCUGUAGAUUGCGAGCGCACCAGCCUUGCUCGCUACUUCUCUACUGGUUCUGGGUCCUCUGCCGUAAAGGAAAAUGUCCUUAUGGUUUCUGCAGGUGUUGAGAAAAGAAUUGGAGGCGCCAGAUUUUCUCAGUACAAGCAACCUGGGAAAGAGCUCGAGACCUUCAAGGUGUCACUAGGAGGAGUAAACGGAAGCUCCACUUGUAGAAGAAUGCUCAUCAACCGUGCCCCAAGUGCUGUUACUGGCCUCAAUGGUUCAUUGUCAUGUGGGCGAGUAGCUUCAGCAAGGUCUUUCUCAAGUAGUGCAGACCUGCCACCACAUCAAGAAAUUGGGAUGCCAUCACUGUCACCUACAAUGACUGAGGGAAACAUUGCCAAGUGGAUUAAGAAGGAAGGAGACAAAGUCUCACCUGGUGAAGUUCUGUGUGAGGUGGAAACGGAUAAAGCCACGGUAGAGAUGGAGUGCAUGGAAGAGGGCUAUCUUGCUAAGAUUGUUCAGGGUGAUGGUGCCAAAGAGAUUAAAGUUGGCGAGGUCAUCUGUGUGACCGUGGAAGAAGAAGGUGACAUCGAAAAGUUUAAAGAUUACAAACCGUCGGCUGCAGAUGCGCCUGCUGCUCCUUCAGAAUCAAAGGCUACACCAGAACCUGCAGCGCCAAAAGUGGAGGAGAAAGUACCUGCCAAGGCUCCUGAACCGAAGGCCCCAAAGGCCGGAAAAGCUUCUCGAUCUGGUGAUAGAAUAUUCGCCAGCCCCCUUGCAAGGAAAUUAGCAGAGGAUAACAAUGUUCAACUGUCAAGUGUAAAAGGCACUGGUCCUGAUGGCCGUAUUCUGAAGGCAGACAUUGAAGAUUACUUGGCCAAGGGUGGCAAGAGUGAGUCUUUCGCAGCUUCAGGAUUAGAUUACACUGAUAUUCCAAAUGCGCAGAUAAGAAAGGUUACUGCAAACCGCCUCCUAGCUUCUAAACAAACCAUCCCACAUUACUACUUGACAGUUGACACACGUGUCGACAAACUUAUCAAGUUACGAGGGGAACUGAACCCACUGCAGGAAGCAUCUGGUGGAAAGAAGAUAUCUAUUAACGACCUUGUUAUAAAGGCUGCAGCCUUGGCUCUUCGAAAGGUCCCUGAGUGCAACAGUUCUUGGAUGAAUGAUUUUAUUCGCCAAUACCACAAUGUGAACAUAAAUGUAGCUGUACAAACUGAGCAUGGAUUGUUUGUUCCAGUAGUUAGGGAUGCAGACAAGAAGGGACUUGGUACAAUCGGUGAGGAGGUGAAGCAGUUGGCUCAAAGAGCAAGGGAUAACAGCUUAAAACCACAAGAUUACGAGGGUGGCACGUUCACAGUAUCAAACUUGGGAGGUCCUUUUGGAAUUAAACAGUUCUGUGCUAUUAUAAAUCCUCCUCAGUCAGCAAUCUUGGCCAUUGGUUCUGCUGAGAAGAGGGUGAUACCAGGCAGCGCGGAUGGUCAGUACGAGUUUGGUUCCUACAUGUCAGUAACAAUGAGCUGCGAUCACAGGGUUAUUGAUGGUGCAAUUGGGGCGGAAUUCCUGAAAGCGUUCAAGGGCUACAUCGAGAACCCGACCACAAUGUUGCUGUAA
rnacentral:rRNA from 1 species